UACGGAGGAUGCGAGCGUUAUCCGGAUUUAUUGGGUUUAAAGGGUGCGUAGGUUGUUUUUUAAGUCAGCGGUGAAAGUUUGUGGCUCAACCAUAAAAUUGCCGUUGAAACUGGAAGACUUGAGUGUGUUUGAGGUAGGCGGAAUGCGUGGUGUAGCGGUGAAAUGCGUAGAUAUAUGGAAGAACACCAGUGGCGAAAGCGGCUCUCUGGUCUGUAACUGACGCUGAGGUUCGAAAGCGUGGGUAGCAAACAGG
rnacentral:rRNA from 1 species